rfam:Agrobacterium tumefaciens str. C58 linear chromosome, complete sequence.
AAUAAAUCAAGGCCAUGCGAUACCACGGGCCAUUGAAAUUCAGGCUCGGCGGUUUUCAUUUCAGGCGAGGGGACCGACGGAUCGUUCGUUACUCCAUGAGUGGCGAGCGGUCUGUGGUUCCAGU